UUUUUUUUUUCUAAACAGAAAUAGGGUAGGUAGUAUAUCUGCAAGAAUACUUUGGGAAAUACCAAAGAUGACAAGAAAUACCAGAGUUGGGAAGCAAACAUUAGUCAGCAAUAUCAUGGACUUCAAAAAUAAAUGUGAAAACAAAAUCCGAAGUGAACACCAUACCAGAAGGAAUGACUAUGAGUUUUGCACCCAGAGCACAUGGAGUAACCCACUCUUUUCAGCCCCAAAAGUGCAAUUUGGGGCACCUUCUGUAAGGAAUCAUGAAGACCUACUAGUAAAAGGAGAGCAUAAAAAUAACCAUAAACUGUGAGGGUUCCUUUCAAGUACACAAUCUUUUUGAGAGAUAUGGAGGUGUAAUCCAGGAGAAUUAGAACAGAUUAACUUAAUAUCCUUCUGGGAUGAUUUGGAUAAGCUGCUGUCUUUUAGUGUGGCAGGUGGACUACAAAAUCUCUUGAGGUUCCUUCCAUUCCUACUUCUUGUGUUUCUAUCUAAACUUUCACAUUAAACAUAUAUUUUGUAUCACUGUCCUGCACAUUUCAUUUCUUGUAAAUGUAUUUUGAUAUUCCUCAUGUGUGCAUAGAACAACGUCUUUUGUCUAGUGAUGUAAUGAUAUUUACUAACCAAUAAUGUGAGGUUUGAACUCAUUGGUAUUAUUUUAUUAAUAAUAAAUACUGGGAUCUUGGCAAAGACCUACCGUCAUUCUUGGCCUUCCUGUAUUUUCAUCAAAAAAUUGUAGUGCAGACUACAUUUCUCAGGUAUUAAAAAUAAAGGUAUAUUUGUUUUUCUUGAACAUCCUGGUUUGAAGCCAGGUGUUGGGUCCUACAAGGCUCAGGUCUUAGGAUCACGCUGACUGUGAGCAGAAGUGUUCUUGCUGUGCACCUCCUUGGAGCUUGGAUGCACACAGAGGAUGCUACCAUGAAGGUCAUGUCUCUCCUUCUGGCCCCUGGAGCUACAAGGACCCCUGGAAGCUCAAAUGCAAAACUGUGUCCUUCUGAUGAAUGAAGAUGAAAUAAUUACUGAUGUGGAAGCUAUCUUUUUCUAAUGGGUGAGUCACCUUGAUCUGACGACUGUCAGUGUCAGGGGCACUGCGGAGGUCAGCAAUAAAUUUCUGUGGGGACCUGUAAGGGUUUAGUUCCCAGAACCUGGGGUAAUUAUGGGAUAAGUUGUAUAAUAAAACCCAACAUCAUGCUGACCAUUUGGAAAUGGAUCAUCCUCCAGCUGUAUACUGCACCUGGAAGGAGAGGCAAAAACAUUUAAGCAUUCAAUUUGAAACAUGGUCAAAAGCAGGUUUUCUGUACUCAAGGAAUUUUUUCAGAAAACUGACCUCACUAUCUUAGACGUGAUCUCACUAUCUAAUGUUUCUUCUAUUUUCUCAUCAGAUUGGUUUGUUUCAGUACUGCUUGUUUCUUGAUGGCUGUAAUGCCUAGCAGGGAAAGUUUCCCCUGGUUCUGUCAACCAGCAUUGGCAGCAUGCAGCCUGGAUGCCACAGCCAAUUAUGCUGAGUGCUCAGGUUAUUGCAUAUGACCCAAAUCUCAGUAUUCCAUAUGCAAAACAAUUGGGCUUCAUUGCUCCAGGAGGAGCAAUACGGUGUGUAACUGCCAUGUUCACUUUGGGUCACAGAACAAUCUUGAAGGGCAAAAUGCAUCAAUUCCAGCCCAGUGAAAGUCUCAGUUUUCAGAACAGGAAUGUGUUUAGAAAAAAACCUGGGAACAAUGCGAAUAUGCUCUGUUUCUGAGACUUUUUUCUCUUGCACCAUGUGCCAUCUCGUAUUUCCAUGGAGGUUUUCCAUUGUCCUGGGAUGCUGAGAGUCCAACACAGCUGUGCUCAGCUUCUGAUUUCUAGAGUGGCUCUUCCCCUGGCUUACCCUGGGGACUGACUUACCCAGUGGCAGCUGAAUGCACCUUCAGCAGGCCCUAAAACUCACCAGUUUGAGAAAACAGCUGAAAACAAGAACAAACACGGCCAUGUUAGGUAGAUCCACCAACAUCUAUGAACUGUACUUGGGAUGAAACAGCCAGCUUGUGAGGCUUCUGCACCACAGGCUGGCAGCUGCUGUACUCUCAUUUUCCUGGCAACAAAUUAUACUAGAAAUAAUAACAGAAAACAAGAUUUUGGGAAAAACUCACUUGUUCAGGGUCAAAUACCUCAAGCUUCUAAAAGAUGGCCAUCUAGUUGCAUAUAGUUAACUUCCCUAUCCAGUGGAGGGUCAGGUACUGUCAGGAGCUUACCAGGUUGAUGCUAUGCAUCAUAAGAUGGGACAAAAACAACCCCUUUGAGAUGCCUAUUUCUCCCCCAUAACUAUGAAGGGAGACAGCUAGCCCCAAUGCCAGAAAAGUGAUGUGCAUGAUGCUGUGUCUUUAACAGAGAGACGUCAUAUAUGCAGAAGAAUCCAUAUGAAGAUGUUAAUACCCUUCCUGCUUUGGUCAGAAGAAAAUAGUUUAAUUUGAAAAAGUUCCUAAAUAUGAUGGCCAUGU